rnacentral:rRNA from 1 species
ACACCGCCCGUCACACCAUGGGAGUUGGCCACGCCCGAAGUCGUUACUCCAACCGAAAGGAGGAGGAUGCCGAAGGCAGGGCUGAUGACUGGGGUGAAGUCGUAACAAGGUAGCCGUACCGGAAGGUGUGGCUGGAUCACCUCCUUU